UGGUCCGUGGGUGAGAUAUCACAGUCCAAGGUAGUCUGUUGCAUGAUUGAACAGCUGGAAUGUGUUGUGGCUUUGGUCAAACAAUUGUGAGGGUUAUUUGAGUCCUACUCAGGUUCUAUUAUCGAGUGGGAAUUGGAUUGAGGCCUUUAAGAAGCCCUAUGGGCAGACGGGGAUAGGGUGGCUUGGUGUGUUCAAUAGAGAACCUACAGCCAGCAUAGUAGUCACAGGCAAAACACCGAUAGAUAGUUAGUGG
rnacentral:lncRNA from 1 species